rnacentral:rRNA from 1 species
GGACGGGUGAGUAACGCGUGAGCAACCUGUCCCUACAGGGGAUAACACAGCGAAAGUUGUACUAAUACCGCAUAAGACCACGGGGAGACAUCUUUCAGGGGUCAAAGGAGCAAUCCGGGUAAGGGGUGGGCUCGCGUCCGAUUAGAUAGUUGGUGAGGUAACGGCCCACCAAGUCGACGAUCGGUAGCCGACCUGAGAGGGUGAUCGGCCACAUUGGGACUGAGACACGGCCCAAACUCCUACGGGAGGCAGCAGUGGGGAAUAUUGGGCAAUGGGGGAACCCUUGACCCAGCAACGCCGCGUGAGGGAAGAAGGUUUUCGGAUCGUAAACCUCUGUCCUUGGUGAAGAGUGAGAGACGGUAGCCAAGGAGGAAGCCCCGGCUAACUACGUGCCAGCAGCCGC